rnacentral:rRNA from 1 species
AGCAGCCGCGGUAAUUCCAGCUCCAAUAGCGUAUAUUAAAGUUGUUGCAGUUAGAAAGCUCGUAGUUGAAUUUCGGGAUCAAUAUAUCGGUCAUGCUUAGGUAUGUACUGGUAUUAUUGAUUUCUCCCUUCUGAAGAACCAUGAUGUCAUUAGUUUGGUGUCGUGGGGAAUCAGGACUGUUACUUUGAAAAAUUAGAGUGUUUAAAGCAGGCAUACGCUUGAAUACAUUAGCAUGGAAUAAUGAAAUAGGACGUUUGAUUCUAUUUUGUUGGUUUCUAGGAUUGACGUAAUGAUUAAUAGGGAUAGUUGGGGGCAUUAGUAUUCAAUUGUCAGAGGUGAAAUUCUUGGAUUUAUUGAAGACUAACUACUGCGAAAGCAUUUGCCAAGGAUGUUUUCAUUAAUCAAGAACGAAAGUUAGGGGAUCGAAGACGAUCAGAUACCGUCGUAGUCUUAACCAUAAACUAUGCCGACUAGGGAUCGGAUGAUGUUAAUUUUUAAUGACUC